rnacentral:rRNA from 1 species
CCUACGGGGGGCAGCAGUGAGGAAUAUUGGUCAAUGGGGGAAACCCUGAUGCAGCGACGCCGCGUGUGGGAAGACGGUCCUCUGGAUUGUAAACCACUGUCCCCAGGGACGAAGAUGACGGUACCUGGAGAGGAAGCUCCGGCUAACUACGUGCCAGCAGCCGCGGUAAUACGAAGGGAGCGAGCGUUGUCCGGAAUUACUGGGUGUAAAGGGAGCGUAGGCGGGGCUGAAAGUUGGGUGUAAAAUCUACGGGCUCAACCGGUAGCCGCACUCAAAACUGCAGAUCUUGAGUGAAGUAGAGGCAGGCGGAAUUCCUAGUGUAGCGGUGAAAUGCGUAGAUAUUAGGAGGAACACCAGUGGCGAAGGCGGCCUGCUGGGCUUUUACUGACGCUGAGGCUCGAAAGUGUGGGGAGCAAACAGGAUUAGAUACCCUUGUAGUC